AUAAACCAAAAUAAUAUCUAUACUAUUGACACGGUACGCAACGGUCGCCAGUACAAAGUACAGGCACCGCAACGACCGGUCGGCACCUUAUCAACCGCCAUCACGGCCUACGACGAUACGACUUAGUUGUCUCUCCCACCAACGCUCCAAAGGCUAGACAGGACGGGAAGAAAAGUCGUACGGGACGAGUACGAGCCGCCGGCGAUCGCGGCUCUGCGACACGCAACGUCAACGCGACAACACGGUGUUAUGAUCUCCCGUGUUGUAAGAACGACGACCGACAAUCGUACCACGUUGGAUACACCAGCCCUCGUCCGACCACGGAGAUCGACCGAUCAUCAUCUCCGUCACCAGUACAUUAUAUCGACAACGGUUACAGCUCAACAGACGCCGACCAUACGCCUGCGAGGACGAUCUACAAUCAACCCUCCGCCAGGUAUGGUAAUUUGAAUACAAAUUAUAAGACUAAUCACAUUUAAAUUUAACCAGCUAUCAUCAUUUAUUUUUAAUUUAAAAAAAAAAACUUUGAAUAAAAACUCCCUAAUUUCUUACA